UACAGAGGUGCUCAAGCGUUUGUUCGGGAUUCAUUGGGCGUAAAGGGCGCGUAGGCUGCGGGGUAAGUCGGGUGUGAAUCUCAAGAGGCUCAACUCUGAAAUUGCACUUGAUACUGCUCUGCUAGAGGACUGGAGAGGAGAUUGGAAUUCACGGUGUAGCAGUGAAAUGCGUAGAUAUCGUGAGGAAGACCGAGUGGCGGAAGGCCGGA
rnacentral:rRNA from 1 species